AGAACGAACGCUGGCGGCAGGCCUCAAACAUGCAAGUCUAGGGGGUGUAGCAAUACAUCACCGGCGGACGGGUGCGUAACACGUGGGAAUAUACCUUUCGGUACGGAACAACUGCGGGAAACUGCAGCUAAUACCGUAUACGUCCUAGCGGAGAAAGAUUUAUCGCCGAAGGAUUAGCCCGCGUUCGAUUAGCUAGUUGGUGAGGUAAUGGCUCACCAAGGCGACGAUCGAUAGCUGUUCUGAGAGGAAGAUCAGCCACACUGGGACUGAGACACGGCCCAGACUCCUACGGGAGGCAGCAGUUGGGAAUCUUGGACAAUGGGGGAAACCCUGAUCCAGCCAUGCCGCGUGAGUGAUGAAGGCCUUCGGGUUGUAAAACUCUUUCGACGGGGACGAUAAUGACGGUACCCGUAGAAGAAGCGUCCGGCUAACUUCGUGCCAGCAGCCGC
rnacentral:rRNA from 1 species